rnacentral:rRNA from 1 species
GACGAACGCUGGCGGCGUGCUUAACACAUGCAAGUCGAACGGAAAGGCCCUGCUUUUUUGGGGUGCUCGAGUGGCGAACGGGGGAGUAACACGUGAGUAACCUGCCCUUGACUUUGGGAUAACUUCAGGAAACUGGGGCUAAUACCGGAUAGGAGCUCCUGCUGCAUGGUGGGGGUUGGAAAGUUUCGGCGGUUGGGGAUGGACUCGCGGCUUAUCAGCUUGGUGGUGGGGUAGUGGCUUACCAAGGCUUUGACGGGUAGCCGGCCUGAGAGGGUGACCGGCCACAUUGGGACUGAGAUACGGCCCAGACUCCUACGGGAGGCAGCAGUGGGGAAUAUUGCACAAUGGGCGGAAGCCUGAUGCAGCAACGCCGCGUGCGGGAUGACGGCCUUCGGGUUGUAAACCGCUUUCGCCUGUGACGAAGCGUGAGUGACGGUAAUGGGUAAAGAAGCACCGGCUAACUACGUG